AUUGAACGCUGGCGGCAUGCUUUACACAUGCAAGUCGAACGGUAACAGGCCUUCUGGUGCUGACGAGUGGCGAACGGGUGAGUAAUGCAUCGGAACGUGCCCAGAGGUGGGGGAUAACGCAGCGAAAGCUGUGCUAAUACCGCAUGUGAUCUGAGGAUGAAAGCGGGGGACCAGGCAGCAAUGUUUGGCCUCGCGCCUUUGGAGCGGCCGAUGUCAGAUUAGGUAGUUGGUGGGGUAAAGGCCUACCAAGCCGACGAUCUGUAGCUGGUCUGAGAGGACGACCAGCCACACUGGGACUGAGACACGGCCCAGACUCCUACGGGAGGCAGCAGUGGGGAAUUUUGGACAAUGGGCGCAAGCCUGAUCCAGCAAUGCCGCGUGAGGGAAGAAGGCCUUCGGGUUGUAAACCGCUUUUGUACGGAACGAAAAGGCUCUGGCUAAUACCUGGGGCUGAUGACGGUACCGUAAGAAUAAGCACCGGCUAACUACGUG
rnacentral:rRNA from 1 species